rnacentral:tRNA from 1 species
GGAACCGUGCCCGAAUGCCCAGGGACCACUUUGAUAGAGUAGCGUAUAGGGGCUAAAAUCCCCUCGGUUCUU